rnacentral:miRNA from 1 species
CGGUAUUCUCGGGUAAUGAC